GGGGAUUUAGCUCAGUGGUAGAGCACUUGCCUAGCAAGCGAAAGGCCCUGGGUUCGGUCCCCAGCUCCG
rfam:Rattus norvegicus chromosome 7, whole genome shotgun sequence.